GUGGCAGCUGCAAGCAGGUCACCGGUGACGGAUUAAUUCCUUUGUCCUUCAAUCUUAAUGUUUAUUUACCUGAGAGGUGCCAGGAGCUAUCGAGUUCUUCAGCAGCAGCUGGGCAAAGAAACUCACAAGAUCGUGCCAAAGAGUCCACAAAGGGUGACAGGUUGGAUGGGGAGGGAGCUGAUGACCUCUUCUGGCCUCCAAGGACAAACACACAUGUGUACGCACACUCGGCUGGCUGGCAACUCUCAACUCUUCUGAUGGCUACCUCUGGCCUUUGUUCCUGUGAACAACAAGGCGCCUCACCUCGACUAACCCCAAGGCGGUUUUACCUGACUCCCAACACAGACUCGCCAGUCUGAAGGCAGGCGACCCACUGAGACCUGGAGCCAAAGAAAAUUCACAGCCCCGCCUUUGAUGUGACCGACUUCUGGGAGGGGUGGUCGAUUCCCCAAUGACUAUAUAACAUGCCUUAAAAAUAUUAAAGUCAGU